GCACUGCUGAGGAGUCCCGUGUUAAGACGAAACGGCCGUCCAGUGC
rfam:Schistosoma mattheei strain Denwood, Zambia genome assembly, scaffold: SMTD_scaffold0000802